AUGGAGCAGAUGUUCGACACCAUUGGGUGGUUUGCCAGAGAUCUGGCUACAUUGUCUCGUGUCACUGACGUGCUGCUACCACCUGUACCUGUCGACGCCUUCGAUGCCGAGCUGCGACGACCAAGUUGUGUCAUCAUUCCUGUAGACUCUUUCAAGAUCUUGGGCUCCGUGGAAGACCGCACCUACGAAAUCCUCAACGCUUUAGUUGCCAAGGUAUUCGAAAAUGAUGCAGUGGUGAACAAUGCCAACAUUGGUGAUUUCAUCUCUAGCAACGUUCCGAGCAUCGGCAACUUCAUGACCGACUUGUUUGUGGUCGAAGCAUCAUCAUCAUGUGUGCCCUUUCUGUCUGUCAUCUCAUGUGCCAUGCGUGUCCUUCAAAGUGCAAAAGUGGACAAGAAAAAUAUGAUACAGGUAUCUCGGGGACAUCGUCUUUGGCAGCUACUCGCAAAGGAUGGUUGGCGUUGUUCACAAUGGUGUAGGAUGGUUGGCGUUGUUCAGAAUGGUGUGGCAGUGGGUUCGGAGCUGGCGCAUAGGAAGAGGCAUUUUUUGCAUCACUUGCGGGAGGGAGAGCUACACGCACCCCUCUCUCUCUGCUCCACCGUGUAUGCUUCCUCCACAACAUGUUCGGAUUUGGUUUCUGGACUGGUUAGGGUGAAGGCCAAGGUUGACUGCGCCAGCCUAGCCCUCCAAAGGAACAUUGGCUCCCUACGAGGAUGGCUGGGUGAAGGCCAAGGUUGA
rnacentral:rRNA from 1 species